GACGAAGGAUCCAAGCGUUAUCCGGAUUCAUUGGGUUUAAAGGGUGCGUAGGCGGGUUUAUAAGUCAGUGGUGAAAGCCGAUCGCUUAACGAUCGAACUGCCAUUGAUACUGUAGACCUAGAGUACAGAUGAUGUUGGCGGAAUAUGACAUGUAGCGGUGAAAUGCAUAGAUAUGUCAUAGAACACCGAUUGCGAAGGCAGCUGACAAAACUGUAACUGACGCUGAUGCACGAAAGUGCGGGGAUCAAACAGGAUUAGAUACCCUGGUAGUCCGCACAGUAAACGAUGAUAACUAGUUGUUUGCGAUAUACAGUAAGCGACCAAGCGAAAGCGAUAAGUUAUCCACCUGGGGAGUACGCUCGCAAGAGUGAA
rnacentral:rRNA from 1 species